GUAGUUAGUUUAGUUGUUCCUGGCAGUAAAUGGAGUCCCUGGUUUUUUAUGUAUGCGUCACUGACGAAUAACCAUACAUAAAUACAAACUUACUUACCAACCCACUUCGUCUGACUGUGCAUCCAACUGACUUCAAGUAAGAUAAGCCAGAGUACAACUAAUUGCUCCCCCCUCCUGAUUGAGAACGUGUAUCUGGUGAAAUACGGUCAGCAGCCCCCCCCCCCUUCCCUGAAUCUUGUCUAUCCUGAAUAGUGACUGAUAUCCCACAGCGAGUACUACCCUCCUGCAGCAACCCCUUACAGUUUCCUAGGGGAGUGUGGCCCCCCUUUCCCACACCGCAUCAAAUUUUUCAGUUUCACUCAUUUCUCAGUUUAUAGAUUAUGGGUAUGAGCCUGUGUAAAAUACACAUUUUUUUGCAAACUCCAGCCUGGCUCUUCCCUGCUUCUCAUUGAUGAAGGGCUUCUUCCUUGCUUUAUGGGUCUUCACCGCUGCUUCUAGGAGCCUGUCCCACCAGUACACUUCACACUUAAUGUUUUCCAUUCCUUUUUUAAGGUCACUUGAGGUCAUCCUCCGAUUUGUUAGACACUGACGGAUAAGUUGAUGGUCAUCUCUGGCAUUAGAAGGUUGCUUCAGCCCUCUACCUGUGUACUGCGGUCUUAGAAACUCAUGAGCAUGGAAGCAGCCUGCCUCACAUUGUAGCCUUCUGCCAGCAGAACCAGGAUUAAACCAGAAUUUAACAAUGCAGAUUUGAAAAAGUAUAUAGAGUGGUCUCUUAACUUUUUUCCAGAGCUGUGUGUUGUUUAUUUUAUGUUUUGGCUGCAUGUUUGAACCUGAGAGCAGUUUUCAAAUGGAGUCUGUUUGAGAAUACUAUAUUCACACCCCCAAAACCUUCGUAUCCCAAAUACUGCAUCAUGAAAGGUGAAAACUGGUAGGUUUAUGCUGGUGAAAUAAUGAAGAUAGAUGCUGCUGCUUUUAAAUCAUUCACAAGGUUGUUUAUUGAAAUGGUUUAUUGAAAGGCAUCUAACAAUUUCAAACACAUAUGGAGAUAUAAUAGACAUUCGCCUCAGAAUUAUAUUUUAUGUAAUUUUAUCUUUAAAGUGACCUUAUUAAAUUUGUUCCCCGAAGUAAUAAUUUCAUCUCACACCCUGAGUGCUUUUGCACUCUGGUUAUAUGUGCUGUUAGUGUGCUAGCAGCAUUUUCUACCCAGGGAGUCUGAUCGAAACCCAAAAUCAAGCUGCUGCUGUGAGCUCCUGCUGAGCACCCUGCUCGGAGGCAUGUACACUCGACGGACGCUACGGAGUGCUCCAGUGACCGCCCACUAGUAUAUAUCUGCUGGACUCGACACUCGCCGUACCGUACACCAGACAAAGCAUAACACAGUGUGGUGAACAGUGAUUUCUAUCAUCUAUAUUCUUGUCCUCAGUAGGCGUUAUGAUGCUGACGUGUCACUGAACGUGUCAGGCAAUGUAGUCCAUAUCUGGUUUGAUAUCUUACUCCUGGGGAUACCUGCAUUUCUAGGGACACAUUGAACUGCUUAUAGACUUUUCACAUUUCCCUUUGUCUUCAUGAAAUAGUUUCUCAAUUGGAUUUCUACAGAAGUUCAGAAGAGCAGGCCUUGAUUUCUUUGGACAACCUGUGCUUAAAGCAUGUGACUGGACAUUAUUAUUCUUAGAGAUGGAGAAAUAUGCGUCUUCUCUGUUCAUUCCUAGAAUAAGGAAUGAAAUACAGGCAAUCUACAGCCCAAGGAAGGCAGACAACCGCCUCUAUCUGAUUACAUGGUCGACACUAAGUGAACUAUAGACAAGGUCUCACUUAGAUGCAGUUCUCCUUGAUGUAGCUGGGUUUGAUUUGUGGCUGGUGUGUAGCUGGCCUCUGAGAUGUUGCUCAUGACCCUGUUCAGCGCAGGAAACAUCCAUCAGUGAGCAGGAGGGUGUUCCUUGCUGCGGCACGCAAGAAGGUGAGGCCGGGACAUAAAUACCCUGUGUGACAUGGGGCCUCGGGACACUCCAGUGGGCCAGUCUAAUUAAGAACUGAGUCCAUGAGCCUCCAUAUUCCCGUCUCUUUAGCCCAACAGAACUUUUCUCAGCAUGACCCUGACAUCAGGUAUAUGAGUUCAGCCCCCAUAUCUAUGGCCCCCAGGAAGCAGGGGGAGGGGCAAUAUUCCCUGCCUAGUUUGGUUCCUUCACUCAAGUUAUUUCCCUUGAUGCUUUCCGCCUCUUCUCUUUGAGCAGAUCUGUGUUAUAUAAUGUUAUAGAUGGUUUAUUGCAUCAAGCCUUAUUCCUACCCAGUGGUGCUGUAAAUUCAUUAGUGUGGAAAUGGCGUAGGGUGAACCGGUGUAUGUGUCCACUUGUGUUUGGAUUUGCUUGCAAAAUGUCUUUUUUCCAGACUAAGAUUUUGUUUUAACCAAUCAGUUGAGUGCUCUGUGAAUGUGACUUCUUAUACUACUGGUUGGUUGAAACAAAAUCUUGGUCUGGAUUUGUGCCCUGUGGACUGGAAGUCUCCACCUCUGAUGAACUUACAGUUUUGAGAACAGAGUCGCAGCCUCAGCAGAUUUGCUUUUAUUGUAACUCUGGAUAAGAAAGAUUUCACCGUGUUUAAAUGUUGGUGCCUUUAAAUGAAACGACAAAAUAUUCAGUGUUUAUUCUGUUAUUUUCAAACUAGCAAACAAGUGUUCGUUUUGUAGAAAGGUUACAUAUUUGUUAAAUCAAUAUUUGCCUAUAAAUUAAAUACUUAAUUUAUAAUAAUAAUAAUAAUAAUCGAUACUUUUA